rnacentral:rRNA from 1 species
UUUAUGGAGAGUUUGAUCCUGGCUCAGGACGAACGCUGGCGGCGUGCCUAAUACAUGCAAGUCGAGCGGACUUGAUGGAGUGCUUGCACUCCUGAAGGUU